UUCUUCGGAUGAAGGUUUUUGUGACUGAGUGGCGGACGGGUGAGUAACGCGUGGGUAACCUGCCUCAUACAGGGGGAUAACAGUUAGAAAUGACUGCUAAUACCGCAUAAGACCACGGAGCUGCAUGGCUCAGUGGGAAAAACUCCGGUGGUAUGAGAUGGACCCGCGUCUGAUUAGGUAGUUGGUGGGGUAACGGCCUACCAAGCCAACGAUCAGUAGCCGACCUGAGAGGGUGACCGGCCACAUUGGGACUGAGACACGGCCCAAACUCCUACGGGAGGCAGCAGUGGGGAAUAUUGCACAAUGGGGGAAACCCUGAUGCAGCGACGCCGCGUGAGCGAAGAAGUAUUUCGGUAUGUAAAGCUCUAUCAGCAGGGAAGAAAAUGACGGUACCUGACUAAGAAGCACCGGCUAAAUACGUGCCAGCAGCCGCGGUAAUACGUAUGGUGCAAGCGUUAUCCGGAUUUACUGGGUGUAAAGGGAGCGUAGACGGCUGUGUAAGUCUGAAGUGAAAGCCCGGGGCUCAACCCCGGGACUGCUUUGGAAACUAUGCAGCUAGAGUGUCGGAGAGGUAAGUGG
rnacentral:rRNA from 1 species